UACGUAGGGUCCGAGCGUUGUCCGGAAUUAUUGGGCGUAAAGGGCUCGUAGGCGGUCUGUUGCGUCGGGAGUGAAAACUUACAGCUUAACUGUGAGCGUGCUUUCGAUACGGGCAGACUUGAGUUCGGUAGGGGAGACUGGAAUUCCUGGUGUAGCGGUGAAAUGCGCAGAUAUCAGGAGGAACACCGGUGGCGAAGGCGGGUCUCUGGGCCGAUACUGACGCUGAGGAGCGAAAGCGUGGGGAGCAAACAGG
rnacentral:rRNA from 1 species